UGAGACCGGCGCACGGGUGCGUAACGCGUAUGUAAUCUACCUUGUACAGGGGGAUAGCCCAGAGAAAUUUGGAUUAAUACCCCAUAGUAUUAUGAUGUGGCCUCACAUUAUGAUUAAAGUUCCAACGGUACAAGAUGAGCAUGCGUCCCAUUAGCUAGAUGGUAAGGUAACGGCUUACCAUGGCCACGAUGGGUAGGGGUCCUGAGAGGGAGAUCCCCCACACUGGUACUGAGACACGGACCAGACUCCUACGGGAGGCAGCAGUGAGGAAUAUUGGGCAAUGGUCGCAAGACUGACCCAGCCAUGCCGCGUGCAGGAUGACGCAUCUAUGGUGUGUAAACUGCUUUUGUACAGGAAGAAACACUCCCUUGCGAGGGAGCUUGACGGUACUGUAAGAAUAAGGAUCGGCUAACUCCGUGCCAGCAGCCGCGGUAAUACGGAGGAUCCAAGCGUUAUCCGGAAUCAUUGGGUUUAAAGGGUCCGUAGGCGGUUUUAUAAGUCAGUGGUGAAAUCUGGUCGCUCAACGAUCAAACGGCCAUUGAUACUGUAAGACUUGAAUUACUUGGAAGUAACUAGAAUAUGUAGUGUAGCGGUGAAAUGCUUAGAGAUUACAUGGAAUACCAAUUGCGAAGGCAGGUUACUACGAGUAUAUUGACGCUGAUGGACGAAAGCGUGGGGAGCGAACAGGAUUAGAUACCCUGGUAGUCCACGCCGUAAACGAUGGAUACUAGCUGUUUGGGGCAACCUGAGUGGCUA
rnacentral:rRNA from 1 species